rnacentral:misc_RNA from 1 species
GAUGAAGAACGUAGCGAAAUGCGAUAAGUAAUGUGAAUUGCAGAAUUCAGUGAAUCAUCGGAUCUUUGAACGCACAUUGCGCCCGCCAGUAUUCUGGCGGGCAUGCCUGUUCGAGCGUCAUUUCAACCCUCAAGCACCUUCGGGAGCUUGGUGUUGGGGAUCGGCAGGGCGUCCUCCGGGUCGCGCCGUCCCCCAAAUCUAGUGGCGGUCUCGCUGUAGCUUCCUCUGCGUAGUAAUACACCUCGCUCUGGAGUCUCGGUGCGGCCACGCCGUAAAACCCCCAACUUUUUUCUGGUUGACCUCGAAUCAGGUAGGACUACCCGCUGAACUUAAGCAUAUCAAUAAGCGGAGGA